UAAAUAAAUGAAAUCAAGAAA
rnacentral:piRNA from 1 species